ACUGAACGCUGGCGGCAGGCUUAACACAUGCAAGUCGAGCGGGGGAAGGUAGCUUGCUACUGGACCUAGCGGCGGACGGGUGAGUAAUGCUUAGGAAUCUGCCUAUUAGUGGGGGACAACAUCUCGAAAGGGAUGCUAAUACCGCAUACGUCCUACGGGAGAAAGCAGGGGAUCUUCGGACCUUGCGCUAAUAGAUGAGCCUAAGUCGGAUUAGCUAGUUGGUGGGGUAAAGGCCUACCAAGGCGACGAUCUGUAGCGGGUCUGAGAGGAUGAUCCGCCACACUGGGACUGAGACACGGCCCAGACUCCUACGGGAGGCAGCAGAGGGGAAUAUUGGACAAUGGGGGGAACCCUGAUCCAGCCAUGCCGCGUGUGUGAAGAAGGCCUUAUGGUUGUAAAGCACUUUAAGCGAGGAGGAGGCUACUCUAGUUAAUACCUAGGGAUAGUGGACGUUACUCGCAGAAUAAGCACCGGCUAACUCUGUGCCAGCAGCCGCAGUAA
rnacentral:rRNA from 1 species